rnacentral:rRNA from 1 species
AGCAUAUCAAUAAGCGGAGGAAAAGAAACCAACAGGGAUUGCCCUAGUAACGGCGAGUGAAGCGGCAACAGCUCAAAUUUGAAAUCUGGCCCUCGGGUCCGAGUUGUAAUUUGUAGAGGAUGCUUUUGGUGCGGUACCUUCCGAGUUCCCUGGAACGGGACGCCAUAGAGGGUGAGAGCCCCGUCUGGUUGGAUACCAAUCCUCUGUAAAGCUCCUUCGACGAGUCGAGUAGUUUGGGAAUGCUGCUCUAAAUGGGAGGUAUAUGUCUUCUAAAGCUAAAUAUUGGCCAGAGACCGAUAGCGCACAAGUAGAGUGAUCGAAAGAUGAAAAGCACUUUGAAAAGAGAGUUAAAAAGUACGUGAAAUUGUUGAAAGGGAAGCGCUUAUGACCAGACUUGGGCUUGGUUGAUCAUCCUGGGUUCUCCCUGGUGCACUCUUCCAGUUCAGGCCAGCAUCAGUUUGCUUCGGGGGAUAAAGGCUUCGGGAAUGUGGCUCCUCCGGGAGUGUUAUAGCCCGUUGUGUAAUACCCUGGAGCAGACUGAGGUUCGCGCAUCUGCAAGGAUGCUGGCGUAAUGGUCAUCAGCGACCCGUCUUGAAACACGGACCAAGGAGUCGUCUUCGUAUGCGAGUGUUCGGGUGUUAAACCCCUACGCGUAAUGAAAGUGAACGCAGGUGAGAGCUUCGGCGCAUCAUCGACCGAUCCUGAUGUUCUCGGAUGGAUUUGAGUAAGAGCAUACGGGGCCGGACCCGAAAGAAGGUGAACUAUGCCUGUAUAGGGUGAAGCCAGAGGAAACUCUGGUGGAGGCUCGCAGCGGUUCUGACGUGCAAAUCGAUCGUCAAAUAUGGGCAUGGGGGCGAAAGACUAAUCG